rnacentral:tRNA from 1 species
UUAUAUCUUAUUUUAUGUUGAAUUAAAGUUUUUGAUACUUUAGGUAAUAGUUGAAUUCUAUUAGAUAUA